GUCGGCGCACUAGUGGCGUCACCGUUAUCGAAUAAACGCGCGGCGCUCGAUGUCAUACUCGAUCGCCAUUUUGUUGAAGUGAACCAAGUUGUAAUACUUUCUAUUCGAUAGACAUUUAUAAUCGUUUUCGUUUCAAUAAUCAUCGGCAUUUCGGCGGCAAAUUGACUAUUAUAAAUCGAUAUCAAAAUGAAGAGAUGUUCAUCUGCUGUGUGGCGAUUUUUCGAACGCAUUGAAGAAAACAAUAGAUGUACUGCAAUAGUGUGUAAAUUAUGUGAAAAUCAAUACAAAUACUUCGGCAACACGACUAAUCUUAGAGUGCAUCUGACGACAAAACAUCCUAUACAAUGGGAACUUGCCCAAAAUGGUAGCCUGGACGAGUCGCUUUUCCGAAUUGAAGAAAAUGAAUCUACAAGCCAAACCACGUCAACGACAAAGAGGAGAAAAUACACACCGCGGGCAAAAAAAUGUACGUUAUUCAGUAUCAGUUAAUAAUGAAGAAAUGGAGGGACAUAUGCCUAAGAUCGAAAUCCAGCGGGUGGAUGUAUUGGAGAAUUCAGACAAUGAAUACAGAGAUGAAGACAAUGAUGCCACAAUUAAUCUGGUGAAACAGAUGCAUGCAACCCGAAACUCUGAUGAGGAGUGGCUAGAAGACGAUCCUUACCAAAUCACUCACAUUGAGACCUACGAACCGGUGAAUAACAAACAUAAGAAGAUGAAGUACAGGCGAGUGAAGAGGGAAGUACAAUCACCUACAGGUCUCCCUGGGUUCUACGUAGCACCAAAGCAAGAGAAGACAGUCGUCUACGAAGACAAGAUACAUGGUGACGAAUACUCUGUAUUUGGAGAAUAUGUUGCAAACAAAUUGAGGAAGUUCAAGACUCCACGAACCCGUGGAAACUUGCAGCAGUUAAUUACAACGAUUUUAUGGCAAGCAGAGUAUGGGAUGUACGAUCAUGCAGACUCGGUGAAAAGGGUCUUGAUGUACUCUGUACGAUCUCCUGAACCAGAACCUAGCACGGUAGACUACACUUCUCAUAUGCAAGUAGAGAGUGAGGAAGUCAUUGAACAGAAAGAGAUUCCAACUCAUAGCGUUGAGUCAGAAGGAGUGGACAUAGCAGAAUAAAAUGUUUUAUGGAUUUUUGUAAUAUAGCUUAUGCAUUUUAUUUGUAUAAUUUUAAGUAUGGAUAUAGAUGCAUUGUUUUAACUUUUAAUUAAAUUACCAAAUAAUAGCAAGGUUGAA